rnacentral:rRNA from 1 species
UACAGAGGGUGCGAGCGUUGUCCGGAAUCACUGGGCGUAAAGGGCGCGUAGGUGGCGACCCAAGUCCGUGGUGAAAGCUCGUCGCUUAACGACGAGUCGGCCACGGAGACUGGGUGGCUCGAGCACUGUAGGGGCAGAUGGAAUUCCGGGUGUAGCGGUGGAAUGCGUAGAGAUCCGGAGGAACACCAGUGGCGAAGGCGGUCUGCUGGGCAGUUGCUGACACUGAGGCGCGACAGCGUGGGGAGCAAACAGG